rnacentral:lncRNA from 1 species
UUAAGCAGACCUAGUGAGAGUGAAAAUUUGAGAUGCAAUGUAUCUCGGGACAAAUAUUACAUGUUAUGGAUUGUUUGUCUUAUCAUUAAGCAGCUUGUUUUGAUUCACCCAUUAAAUUGUUAAUGAAAUCUAAACUGCCUAAAAUCUCGUUAAGAAGGGCUAAAAAUUGUCAACCACUAAAUUGGAAUAAAAGGUCGAAUGAUGCAAAGAGUGAUUGAAGAAGCAAAAUA